rfam:Peptococcaceae bacterium BRH_c8a BRHa_1005672, whole genome shotgun sequence.
UCCGUCGCGAGACGGAAUCUGAAGGAAGCCGGCGGCAAACGCUUGACCCGAGGUACACGAACCCAAUUUGAGGCUGCUUCAGCCGGACGAGUCAGCUAAACAUGACAAAAUCCAAAGCCGCCAAAGGCUGAGGCAGUAAACUUGGGCGGGUACAUGAGCGGAAAGAUGACGUU